GGGCCGGUAGCUCAGCUUGGUAGAGCAUCAGGCUUUUAACCUGGGUGUCGCGGGUUCAAAAACGUCCGUUGAAAGUCCCGUCCGGCCCA
rnacentral:tRNA from 1 species